rnacentral:rRNA from 1 species
CCCUUAGAUGUUCUGGGCAGCACGCGCGCUACAAUGGUCUUCGCAAACGGAUGCAUUCUCGAAGGAGAAUGCCAAUCUUGGAAUCUAUGCCUGGGUCGGGACAGUUGCUUGCAAUUUUUCGACUCGAACCAGGAAUUCCUUGUAAUCGUGAUUCAUCACAUCACGAUGAAUACGUCCCUGCCCUUUGUACACACCGCCCGUCGCUCCUACCGAUCGAAGAGUUAGGUGAAUUGUUUUGAUCGAUAAGAUUUGACUAUGGUCAACUCUCGUUGUGAAAUUCUGUGAAUCUGACUGUUUAGAGGAAGGAAAAGUCGUAACA